GACGUGUUUGGAGCUGGAGACGGCCUGGGUGCUGGCGAAGCGGAGGCCGGAGUUAAUACACGAGGAACUCAUGCAAAGGAGGGGACUUUCGGAAAUCCAAACUUAGAGUGCCUUGUAUUUAGAAUCCGGAAGGAAAAGGAAAUGAAAUGUGAAGAAACUCAUGCACCAAACUCGAACUGGUAAGAAGACUGUUAGAAUGCCCUCGGUAACACAGAGGCUGAGAGAUCCUGACAUAAAUCCUUGUUUGUCGGAAUCUGAUGCUUCCACCAGAUGUCUGGAUGAAAAUAACUAUGACAGGGAAAGGUGUUCCACUUACUUCUUGAGGUACAAAAACUGCCGGAGAUUCUGGCCGUGAAAGAUCCUUGAGAGCUCUUGUUAGCUGCCUCGUCGUCCUCUAAGCUAUAAGAAUGCAGUUUUAAUAUAGAAUUCUAUCGUGAUGCAGAGAAGAAAGAACGGAGUGAAGCCAUUUAUGCCUACGGCAGCAGAAAGAGAUGAAAUCUUGAGAG
rnacentral:lncRNA from 1 species